rnacentral:lncRNA from 1 species
AUGGUGGUGAAUCACUUUCCGUUCUCCAGGAUUUCGGAGAGUCCUCUCCAUUUAUCCCGGUUGGCUUCGAGAAUCUUUGGGAGCUGCUGCGAAGACACCCCCAGCUCAUUGGGGGGAUGGUGGUGGGUCAUGAGGACUAGCCACUUUAGAGACCUUUCCUUCCUUCCUUCCCACCUUCUAAUUUUUCCUUCCUUCUUCCCUCCCUCCGUUUCCAUCUUUCCUCCGCCUCUUCCUUCCUUCCCAUCUUCUAAUUUUUCCUUCCUUCCUCCCUCCCUCCGAUUCCAUCUUUCCUCCUCUUCUUCCUUCCUGUCUUCCAAUUUUUCCUUCCUUCUUCCCUCCGUUUCCAUCUUUCCUCUGCCUCUUCCUUCCUUCCCAUCUUCUAAUUUUUCCUUCCUUCCUCCCUCCGUUUCCAUCUUUCCUCCGCAUCUCUUCCUUCCUUCCAUCUUCCAAUUUUUCCUUCCUUCCUCCCUCCCUCCGUUUCCAUCUUUCCUCCUUCUCUUCCUUCCUUCCCAUCUUCCAAUUUUUCCUUCCUUCCUCCCUCCCUCCAUUUCCAUCUUUCCUCCUCUUCCUUCCUUCCCAUCUUCCAAUUUUUCCUUCCUUCCUUCCUCCUCGUUCCAUCUUUCCUCCGCCUCUUCCUUCCUUCCAUCUUCAAUUUUCCUUCCUCCCUCCCUCCGAUUCCAUCUUUCCUCCUUCUCUUCCUUCCUUCCUCUCCUUUCUUUCCCAUCUUCCUUCCUAUCUCCCUUUCCUCUUUUUUUUGCCUUUUCCUUUCUUUCUCCCCCUCUUCUUCUUUCCCCUUUUUCUCACUCUAUUUCCCUCGUCCCGUCUUUUCCAGACUCUUCAAUCGAUUUGUGGGGAGUAGUGGGAGAAAAGGAGGGUUUUCUGACCGCCAGUCCAAAACUUCCCCUUUUGCUCAUCCAUCUGAGCCCAUUCCCCAAUUCCCGAGUCUGUCGGAGAAGAGAGCUUUUGCCUCCAGUCGAUCCUUUCGAUCCUUUCGAUAGAAAGAUUCACGGAGGAAGACGGCAUUUGCAACUCGGCUGA